rnacentral:pre_miRNA from 1 species
GGAAACUUGAAAACUACCGUUGAAUCAAAAAAUAGACGUCCGAGAUUCAUCCAUGUCAUCACGAGUAAAAAUUUCGUGAUGACGUGGACGAAUCUCGGAUGUCCAUUUUUUGAUUUAAUAGUAAUUUUUUAAGUGUCC